AUUAUUAAACUUUUUGCAAAUCACACAGUGUGCAGGAGUUUUCUUUGCAACUUUUGACCUGCUUGUCCCCCUCCGACGCACCUGUCUCACGUUGUAGAUGAAAAUGGAUUUGUAUGA